GACAGAGGGAGCAAGCGUUAUCCAGCUUGAUUGGGCGUAAAGGGUACGUAGGUGGUUAAUUAAGUCAGGUAGUGAAAGACCGGAAUGCUAAAUUGCGGAAGAAUGCUUGAAACUGAUUGGACUAGAGUUUUAGGGGUGUUUAAUAGAAUUUUUGGAGGAGUGUUGAAAUGCUAAAAUACUAAAAGGACUGUUGAUUGCGGAAGCAUUAUUCAACCUUUAACUGACGCUGAGGUACGAAGGCAUUGGUAUC
rnacentral:rRNA from 1 species